CGGCUUAUUAGAUCUGUAGGUGCGAGGUAAGACCUCGGCUUAUCCUGUUUUGUUUACGAGUAAGGACUCGGUUUAGUAUGCUGUAGGUGCGAAUAUUAACUCGGUCCACCUGUUAGCUUCUUAGAUCGUAUCCGAGUAGUGAAGAUGUGUUCGGUAUUUUUACUCGUGCGAUCUAAGAGAUUAUGCGGGACUGGGCCCGGCUUACUUUCGUAUAGUCAUAAGGUUUUUGUUCCUUAUGACUUAUAAGAAAUUGCACUACUGGGAAUGCAUUUUUUAUGGAUCGAGCAUCUAGCUAGGAUGUCGAUGUCAAUGAUGUCGAAGUAUUUCAGCGAGUUACGUUGUAACUACGAACUGGCGAGAUGAGCUCGGCUUUAAGAAAAGAGAGUAAAAAAUGAAACUAACUCAACACUUAUCUUGUUUAUACGUGAGUUCCUUUGUUUGAUGUCGAUGAGCUACGAGGUUAGCUCAACUAUGCAUGGUUUCCUUUGGCGAGGUCAGCUGGGUUCUUAACAUUGCCGAGCUGCUUUGGGGUGUAGAAAAUCUUCUUGCCCCCCUACCUGGCGCGCCAUUUGUUGAACGUGGAUUCGCACGGGUCAAACAAGUCAACUUAUGUUGGAGAGUUUGGAGAUUUUCUGUUAAAUUAAGCUUAGGUCGACAACGAAAUAAGAACAAAGUUUAAGACAUGGUGAGGUGAGUUUGACGAGGUGGCGAGGUGAGUUUGACGAGGUGGCGAGGUGAGGUGAGUUUGACGAGGUGGCGAGGUGAGGUGAGUUUGGCGAGGUGACGAGGUGAGGUGAGCUUGACGAGGUGAUGAGGUGAGAUCAGCUUGACGAGGUGAUGAGGUGAGAUCAGUUUGACGAGGUGAUGAGGUGAGAUCAGUUUGACGAGGUGAUGAGGUGAGAUCAGUUUGACGAGGUGGCAGAGAAUUUGGCGAGGUGAUGGUGAAUUUGGCGAAGUGGAGUGAUUUUGGCGAGGUGAUGAUGAUUUUGGCGAGUGAUGGUGAAUUUGGCAAGGUAGGAGUGAUUUUGGCGAGUGAUGUGAUUUUGGCGAGGUGAGAGUGAUUUUGGCGAG
rnacentral:lncRNA from 1 species